rnacentral:rRNA from 1 species
GAUGAACGCUAGCGGCAGGCUUAAUACAUGCAAGUCGAACGGUAACAGGGUUGUAGCAAUACAAUCGCUGACGAGUGGCAGACGGGUGAGGAACACGUACACAACUUCCCUUUAUCUGGUGAAUAGCCCCGAGAAAUCGGGAUUAAUACACCAUAGUAUCUUGGAGAGUCAUCUCUUUAAGAUUAAAGUUCCGGCGGAACAAGAUGGGUGUGCGUCUGAUUAGCUAGUUGGUUGUGGUAACGGCUCACCAAGGCGGCGAUCAGUAACUGGUGUGAGAGCACGGCCAGUCACACGGGCACUGAGAUACGGGCCCGACUCCUACGGGAGGCAGCAGUAAGGAAUAUUGGUCAAUGGACGCAAGUCUGAACCAGCCAUGCCGCGUGCAGGAUGAAGGCCCUCUGGGUCGUAAACUGCUUUUAUCAGGGAAGAAAUCACUUAUUUCUAUGAGUGUUGACGGUACCUGAGGAAUAAGCACCGGCUAACUCCGUGCCAGCCGCCGCCGUAA